AUUGAACGCUGGCGGCAGGCCUAACACAUGCAAGUCGAGCGGAUGAAGGGAGCUUGCUCCUGGAUUCAGCGGCGGACGGGUGAGUAAUGCCUAGGAAUCUGCCUGGUAGUGGGGGAUAACGUCCGGAAACGGGCGCUAAUACCGCAUACGUCCUGAGGGAGAAAGUGGGGGAUCUUCGGACCUCACGCUAUCAGAUGAGCCUAGGUCGGAUUAGCUAGUUGGUGGGGUAAAGGCCUACCAAGGCGACGAUCCGUAACUGGUCUGAGAGGAUGAUCAGUCACACUGGAACUGAGACACGGUCCAGACUCCUACGGGAGGCAGCAGUGGGGAAUAUUGGACAAUGGGCGAAAGCCUGAUCCAGCCAUGCCGCGUGUGUGAAGAAGGUCUUCGGAUUGUAAAGCACUUUAAGUUGGGAGGAAGGGCAGUAAGUUAAUACCUUGCUGUUUUGACGUUACAAACAGAAUAAGCACCGGCUAACUUCGU
rnacentral:rRNA from 1 species